UCCUCGCAUGGGAUAAUUUUUACUUUAUUUUCCCUUUGGAGGUCAGGUUAAAACAUGAUUGUAAUUUGCAUGAUCCAAAAUUCACAUCUUUAAGUAUUCACAAUUUGCAGUGCCCUGAUUGCUUCUAUUUGCU
rnacentral:snoRNA from 1 species